CCUACGGGGAGGCAGCAGUGAGGAAUAUUGGUCAAUGGGCGAGAGCCUGUACCAGCCAAGUCGCGUGAAGGAUGAAGGAUCUAUGGUUUGUAGCCUUCUUUUAUAUGGGGAUAACGUGAGGAAUGUGUUCCUUUUUGUAUGUACCAUAUGAAUAAGCAUCGGCUAACUCCGUGCCAGCAGCCGCGGUAAUACGGAGGAUGCGAGCGUUAUCCGGAUUUAUUGGGUUUACAGGGUGCGUAGGUGGUUAAUUAAGUCAGCGGUGAAAGUGUGUGGCUCAACCAUAAAAUUGCCGUUGAAACUGGUUGACUAGAGUAUAGUAGAGGUAGGUAGAAUGCGAGGUGUAGCGGUGAAAUGCAUAGAGAUCAGGAAGAAUUCCGAUGGCGAAGGCAGCUCACUAAACUAAGACUGACACUGAGGCACGAAAGCGUGGGGAGCAAACAGGAUUAGAUACCCCAGUAGUC
rnacentral:rRNA from 1 species